ACGCUCGACACCUAGGAGGCAGCAGUGGGGGAUAUUGCGCAAUGGGGGAAACCCUGACGCAGCAACGCCGCGUGAAGGACGAAGGUUUUCGGAUUGUAAACUUCUUUUGUUAGGGACGAAGAAAUGACGGUACCUGACGAAUAAGCUCCGGCUAACUACGUGCCAACAGCCGCGGUAAUCUGAGCGGGCUGGCAAGGC
rnacentral:rRNA from 1 species